rnacentral:rRNA from 1 species
AGUGAACGCUGGCGGUAGGCCUAACACAUGCAAGUCGAACGGCAGCACAGGAGAGCUUGCUCUCUGGGUGGCGAGUGGCGGACGGGUGAGGAAUACAUCGGAACCUACUCUGUCGUGGGGGAUAACGUAGGGAAACUUACGCUAAUACCGCAUACGACCUACGGGUGAAAGCAGGGGAUCUUGGGACCUUGCGUGAAUAAAUGAGCCGGUGUCGGAUUAGCUAGUUGGCGGGGUAAAGGCCCACCAAGGCGACGGUCCGUAGCUGGUCUGAGAGGAUGAUCAGCCACACUGGAACUGAGACACGGUCCAGACUCCUACGGGAGGCAGCAGUGGGGAAUAUUGGACAAUGGGCGCAAGCCUGAUCCAGCCAUACCGCGUGGGUGAAGAAGGCCUUCGGGUUGUAAAGCCCUUUUGUUGGGAAAGAAAUCCAGCUGGUUAAUACCCGGUUGGGAUGACGGUACCCAAAGAAUAAGCACCGGCUAACUUCGUGCCAGCCGCUGCCGUAAGAC